rnacentral:sRNA from 1 species
GGCUGCUGCUCUUGGGAUCUGAAAUUGACGAUGAUACAACACAGUAUCAUAUGGCUGUGUGGGAAGCCUGCGAUGCUCCAGAGACAGCUUCAUUGAACUGUCUUCUUUGCUGCUCGCACAGUAGUUGUCAUCUGUAUCACUGAAGGGGUGUGCACUCAAGCCACCCCUGUUGGACAUGGUCGUGUCAUCUUCGACAUGCUUUACAGGUUUCCCAGGAAGCCUACGGCCCUGGGUGUUGGGGACCUCGCGCCUCAAUCAUGCACAAGUUUUCCAUUGGCGGGUCCGGUGUCGGCUGCUUAGCCCAUUCUCAUACUUAAUCGAGCU